GACGAACGCUGGCGGCGUGCUUAACACAUGCAAGUCGAACGGUAAGGCCCUUCGGGGUACACGAGUGGCGAACGGGUGAGUAACACGUGGGUGAUCUGCCCUGCACUUCGGGAUAAGCCUGGGAAACUGGGUCUAAUACCGGAUAGGACUCCUGGCUUCAUGGUUGGGGGUGGAAAGCUUUUGCGGUGUGGAAUGGGCCCGCGGCCUAUCAGCUUGUUGGUGGGGUAAUGGCCUACCAAGGCGACGACGGGUAGCCGGCCUGAGAGGGUGACCGGUCACACUGGGACUGAGACACGGCCCAGACUCCUACGGGAGGCAGCAGUGGGGAAUAUUGCACAAUGGGCGCAAGCCUGAUGCAGCGACGCCGCGUGAGGGAUGACGGCCUUCGGGUUGUAAACCUCUUUCAGCUAUGACGAAGCGCAAGUGACGGUAGUAGCAGAAGAAGGACCGGCCAACUACGUGCCAGCAGCCGCCGUAA
rnacentral:rRNA from 1 species